UACGAAGGGUGCGAAACGUUGCUCGGAAUUAUUGGGUGACGGUAAAGGGCGCGUAGGCGGUGCGGUAAGUCUGCGGGUGAAAUCUCCCGGCUCAACUGGGAGUCUGCCGGUGGAAACUGCCGUGGCUUGAGUCCGGGAGAGGUGAGUGGAACUGCGAGUGUAGAGGUGAAAUUCGUAGAUAUUCGGAAGAACACCAGUGGCGAAGGCGACUUACUGGACACAUAUUGACGCUGAGGUGACGAAAGCGUGGGGAGCAAAC
rnacentral:rRNA from 1 species